CCACUCACUGACUAUGAACUUGUCUGAUAUAUUCAAGCAGGUUUAGGUCCUGAAUAUGAUCCCCUGAUCACAUCUCUCACAACUCAUCUUGAUCUGAUGACUCUUCAAGAGGUGUAUGAUCAUCGUCUCAACUUUGAGC